UACUGUACUGUACUGGCUAGAUGGGAGGUACUGUACUGUAUUGGCUAGAUGGGAGGUACUGUACUGUACUGGCUAGAUGGGAGGUACUGUACUGUAUUGGCUAGAUGGGAGGUACUGUACUGUAUUGGCUAGAUGGGAGGUACUGUACUGUAUUGGCUAGAUGGGAGAUACUGUACUGUACUGGCUAGAUGGGAUGUACUGUACUGUAUUGGCUAGAUGGGAUGUACUGUACUGGCUGGAUGGGAGGUACUGUACUGUAUUGGCUAGAUGGGAGCUACUGUACUGGCUAGAUGGGAGGUACUGUACUGUAUUGGCUAGAUGGGAGGUACUAUACUGGCUAGAUGGGAAGUACUGUACUGUACUGGCUAGACGGGAGGUACUGUACUGGCUGGAUGGGAGGUACAGUACUGGCUAGAUGGGAGGUACAGUACUGGCUAGAUGGGAGGUACAGUACUGGCUGGAUGGGAGGUACAGUACUGGCUAGAUGGGAGGUACAGUACUGGCUGGAUGGGAGGUACAGUACUGGUUGGAUGGGAGGUACUGUAUUGGCUAGAUGAGGUACUGUAUUGGCUAGAUGAGGUACUGUACUGGUUAGAAGGGAGGUACAGUACUGGCUUGGUGGGAGGUACAGUACUGGCUGGAUGGGAGGUACUGUACUGUAUUGGCUAGAAGAGGUACUGUACUGGCUAGAUGGGAGGUACUGUACUGUAUUGGCUAGAUGGGAGGUACUGUACUGGCUGGAUGGGAGGUACAGUACUGGCUAGAUGAGGUACAGUACUGGCUAGAUGGGAGGUACAGUACUGGCUUGAUGGGAGGUACAGUACUGGCUGGAUGGGAGGUACAGUACUGGCUAGAUGAGGUACAGUACUGGCUAGAAGGGAGGUACAGUUCAGUACUGGUUAGAAGGGAGGUACUGUAUUGGUGGGAGGUACAGUACUGGUUAGAAGGGAGGUACAGUACUGGCUAGAAUGGAGGUACAGUACUGGCUUGGUGGGAGGUACAGUAUUGUACUGGGUGGAUGGGAAUAUGUAAACCCAGCCAACAUAUCUGGGUUAGUAUUCUGUAUGUGAAAUUGAGACAUCCAGGCCCGCUAGCCAAAACUCAACGGUGUGUGACUGACAGCUACAUGAACAUUAACUAUGUUACUCUUAUAAUGACCAUUUGGGGGGAGGGGGGCUUAUGUUGGUCCUGGUACACACCUGUACAAGUCUGUAAUGGAAAUGUGUUUCUUACAUACUGAGACCCUGAGGAGUGGGGUCGCGACCUUUUAUGGUGAUACCAUUCAGUAUUGGCUUCUGUACUCACAACCCUAUUUUCUAAACCAGACACAGUGAUGUGUGCAGUCUGGUUGAAUAUUGCCUAUUCAGGCAUGUGAGCCAUCGUCACAACCCAGUCAAAAUGUUGCUUUUUCUCACCCUCCUUCCCUUUUUAAUAUUUUGCGUUGCAUGUUUUUUUCACAGCACAUUUGAGUUAUUUCAAUGGUUAGACUGUAUUUCAAGCAAUAACUCGUAGCUCAAUACAGAUAGACUGAAAGUGUUUGUAUUAUAUUU